UUGCUCACUUUUUCCGUGUAUAAAGAGCAUAGCAGACGCGAUACUUUUAGUAUCAGCGAUCGGCGAUUUAGUUGAUUUUCGGAAGCUCAAUGCCGCGUUUGCACACUCCACUCCG